GUAUUAAUAUCAGAUACAUAAUGCUGGUUCCAGACUGAUGAACUGUAUUCAAAUAUUGGUCUAGCAAAUGUUUUGUAUGCUCUAGUUAGUAGUGUGAUAUUACCAGAGAAAAAACUAUGCGGGAUUAGGUUAACAAAUUAUAAUGCCUUUUUGGCUAUCUAGU